GCAUUGGUGGUUCAGUGAUAGAAUUCUCGCCUGCCACGCGGGAGACCCGGGUCCGAUUCCCGGCCAAUGCA
rnacentral:tRNA from 2 species